rnacentral:rRNA from 1 species
UAUUAUUUAAAAUGUAAUUAUAAAUACUUAAGUAGUAAUAGUUAUGUUCUUGAAACUUAAAAAAUUUGGCGGUAUUUUAGUCUAUCCAGAGGAACCUGUUUUAUAAUCGAUAAUCCACGAUGGACCUUACUUAAGUUUGUAUACAGUUUAUAUACCGUCGUUAUCAGAAUAUUUUAGAAGAAAAAUAAUAUUCAAUAAUUUAGAUUAAAAUUUAUAUCAGAUCAAGGUGUAGCUUAUAUUUAAGUAAUAAUGGGUUACAAUAAAUUUAUUUAAACGAAUAGAACUAUGAAAAAGUUUUUGAAGGUGGAUUUGGUAGUAAAAUUAUAAAGAUUAAUAAUUUGAUUUUAGCUCUAAAAUAUGUACACAUCGCCCGUCGCUCUUAUUAUUAAGGUAAGAUAAGUCGUAACACAGUAGAUGUACUGGAAAGUGUAUCUAGAAUGA